rnacentral:rRNA from 1 species
UACAGAGGGUGCAAGCGUUAAUCGGAAUUACUGGGCGUAAAGCGUGCGUAGACGGUUAUUUAAGUCAGGUGUGAAAGCCCCGGGCUCAACCUGGGAAUUGCAUUUGAGACUGAAUAGCUAGGGUGCGGAAGAGGGAAGCGGAAUUUCCGGUGUAGCGGUGAAAUGCGUAGAUAUCAAGAGGAACACCUGAGGUGAAGACGGGUUGCUGGGCUGAUACUGACGCUGAGGCGCGAAAGCUAGGGUAGCAAACGGG